GACCGGUUCACUAAAAAGAACCGGUUCACUAAAAAGAACCGGUUCAAAUGAACGAUUCGUUCACGAACCGGCAAUCACUGCUGGCUUCGGGAUUUCACCUGUUUUUCGCGCUCUUGUGAAAAGAACAAUAGCAUUGAUAUUGGACGUGAAUGCGUCCUAAAGGGACUUUGUGUGUACUUGAAUGAAGAUCCGGAGAAGCUGGUGUAGGAAUACAUGGCAGAUGAUGUAAGCAGACACACAGCCAUGGAAGAGACGCUCUUUGGCAUCUAUGUUAUUUGACAUGAAGGUGAUGAGCUUACUGAUCCCCCAGAGGAUGUGGGUAUAAUUCUAGAGGGGGUGACUGUACUCUGUGAACUGGGGAAUGUACCUUUUGCAUUGGCCAUAUUGUUUGCCUUAGUAUAAUCUUUAAAUCUGUGCUACCCUCCAGAACAUAAAUAUACGUUUCAAGCUUUGCAGAAAAUAAUUUUAGAGCUGAAUGGGAACAGGCUUUCUGCAAAAAUACACGCUCUUAAAACAAUUAUGUUGCGUUGAAGAUUGUCCACUUCAAGUAAAGUGAAUAAUAUUCAAUCAUUCCUUUGUUAAAGGUUUAAGGUCACUGACAUUUUAUGGGACAGGUCUAAUUAUUUGAGGUGGGGUGCUAUAAAACAUUUAAAAAAUAAAAUGUUUUUUUACAUGCAGUAUUUCUUUUUUCAGAUUUGAUAAUUUUAUAGUGGUUUGCUUUAAAACAAUUUUAAGUUGAAACAAUACCAAGUACAGUGGAAC